rnacentral:misc_RNA from 1 species
UAAAAAAAAAAAAAAAACAAGCCACCGAGGGCAGAAGAGGGAUGUUCCAUGGUCUCAAAUCCCCAGCAGAAUCUAACCGGUAAGCCUCCUAUAAGACAAAAACUAAUUUGCAUCAAAUGCAAAUGGCUGCCCUCAUCGCUAAGGUGCCGCAAAGCCCAAGACCUUUACAUGGAUUGUAAGGGUCUCCAAAACAAAUUCCAAGUAAAUAUAUAAUCCAUUUUUAGAGACCAUUAGAACAGCAACAACGGAUUGCUUGUUACUAUUAUGCAUACACCGGCAGAGAUUCAGAGACGACAAGGAUUUAUUGCUGAUGGAGGAGUCGUAUGGCGUGGAAUUAAAAAUGAUUUUAUC